UUUAAAUCAGAGCUGGAAAAGGUCAGAUUUCAUACUCUUGACUAUUGUGGAUUCCUGCUCCUGAGAAAACAACUGCUGCUCAAGAGUCU